rnacentral:lncRNA from 1 species
UGAUCCCUUAACUGCUUUGAAAACUUGUAUUAAGGUUUUCGGCUUGUGUAAGAAUGUGAUGGAUGCCAAUGGAAGCUUUUCAGCAUAAAAUUCAUUUUCUACCCAACCCAAAGCCCUGGAAGGAGGAAAUCAGUCACAGAGUCACCAUCAGGAUCUCUCCUCUUAGAAAAUGGACACAGGGUUAAUGGAAACAGCCUUAAAAGACUAAAGUGCUUGGUCAUGCUGCCUAAGUGUUUGCAAGAUUGAGAACUAAGAAUUUUGGGCAGUCCCUUCAAGCCGUGAGAUGAUUUACUGGCAAUACCACUUGGAGAAG